CCUACGGGAGGCAGCAGUGGGGAAUAUUGCGCAAUGGGCGAAAGCCUGACGCAGCGACGCCGCGUGAGGGAUGAAGGUCUUCGGAUCGUAAACCUCUGUCAGCAGGGAAGAACGGUCACUGUGCUAAUCAGCAGUGAAUUGACGGUACCUGCAAAGGAAGCACCGUCUAACUCCGUGCCAGCAGCCGCGGUAAUACGGAGGGUGCGAGCGUUAAUCGGAAUUACUGGGCGUAAAGCGCGCGGAGGCGGUAUGGCAAGUCAAGGGUGAAAUCCCCGCGCUCAACGUGGGAACUGCCUUUGAAAAUGGGAGACUGGAGUGUGUGAGAGGGUAGGGGAAUUCCAGGGGUAGGAGUGAAAACCGUAGAAAACUGGAGGAAAAUCAGUGGCGAAGGCGACUAUCUGGCACAUAACUGACGUCGAGGAGCGAAAGCGUGGGUAGCAAACAGGAUUAGAUACCCCAGUAGUC
rnacentral:rRNA from 1 species